rnacentral:rRNA from 1 species
CGAUGGGCCGACGUCGCAUGCUCCGGCCGCCAUGGUAGAGUUUGAUCAUGGCUCAGAUUGAACGCUGGCGGCAGGCCUAACACAUGCAAGUCGAGCGGAUGACAGGAGCUUGCUCCUGAAUUCAGCGGCGGACGGGUGAGUAAUGCCUAGGAAUCUGCCUGGUAGUGGGGGACAACGUUUCGAAAGGAACGCUAAUACCGCAUACGUCCUACGGGAGAAGCAGGGGACCUUCGGGCCUUGCGCUAUCAGAUGAGCCUAGGUCGGAUUAGCUAGUUGGUGAGGUAAUGGCUCACCAAGGCGACGAUCCGUAACUGGUCUGAGAGGAUGAUCAGUCACACUGAAACUGAGACACGGUCCAGACUCCUACGGGAGGCAGCAGUGGGGAAUAUUGGACAAUGGGCGAAAGCCUGAUCCAGCCAUGCCGCGUGUGUGAAGAAGGUCUUCGGAUUGUAAAGCACUUUAAGUUGGGAGGAAGGGCAUUAACCUAAUACGUUAGUGUUUUGACGUUACCGACAGAAUAAGCACCGGCUAACUCUGUGCCAGCAGCCGCGGUAAUACAGAGGGUGCAAGCGUUAAUCGGAAUUACUGGGCGUAAAGCGCGCGUAGGUGGUUUGUUAAGUUGGAUGUGAAAUCCCCGGGGCUCAACCUGGGAACUGCAUUCAAAACUGACAAGCUAGAGUAUGGUAGAAGGGGGGGUGGAAUUUUCCUGGUUUAGCGGGUGAAAUGCGUUAGAUUUUAGGAAAGGGACACCAGUUGGCGAAGGCGAACCACCUGGACUGGAUUCUUGAACC